CGCGUAGGUGGUAGUGCAAGUCUGGGGUGGAAUCCCAGGGCUUAACCCUGGAACUGCCUUGGAAACUGUAUUACUUGAGUCAGUGAGGGGAGGGUAGAAUUCCUGGUGUAGCGGUGAAAUGCGUAGAUAUCAGGAGGAAGGCCUGUGGCGAAGGCGGCCCUCUGGCGCUGAACUGACACUGAGGCGCGAAAGCGUGGGGAGCAAACAGGAUUAGAUACCCUGGUAGUCCACGCCCUAAACGGUGGGUACUAGGUGUAGGGCUCGUAAGGGUUCUGUGCCGAAGCGAAAGCAUUAAGUACCCCGCUGGGGAUACGGCCGCAAGGUUGAA
rnacentral:rRNA from 1 species